UACAAGGGCUCAAACUAGCCAUCCCCUGGACCCAUUAUCCGCUGCUGAAAUCAUAGUCACUGUGGCAACUGUAAGGACAGCUGGAGCAACUCCUGAGGUCAGAGAUGGUAUGUGGUUUGCAGAGGUGGUUCUAUUAGAUAUAGAUAAAACUGUCGUUGCACUUGCAGAUGCAUACUUCUUCUACCUUCAGUCGUCCUUGUUAGCCCGAAGUAAAGGUGGAGCUGUGGUACCUAGGAAACUUCCUGCGAGGUGAGCUAGGCUUCUUGUCAAUGAAAAAUCAAACGAGACAAGCAUUUGGAUUGUUGAACUAUCUCAGGAUGCUGUGGAGUAUAUUGAAUGUGAAGAAGUUGUGAAAGAUUACCCUCCGUUUCCAGAGGCUAUGAAGAAGAGGGGUAUCGAAGAUAUGGAGCUUGUGAUGGGGUGUUGGUUACAUAGCGAAACUGAUGCUCCUAGCCGCAGAUUAGCAAAAACCACUUAUAUUCUGCAGGACAGAAAGUGACAGUUCGAUGAUAAAUGGAUAUGCACGAUCAGAGGCAUCUAUGUUCUGGUUGAUAUGCAAUAUAUGGUAGUAAUUGACUUUGAAGAUUGCAAACUUGUUCCCUUGCCACCUGCCAAUCCACUGCGAAACUAUACUAUUGGUCAUAGAUGAGGUGGUAUUGACUGAAGUGAUGUAAAGCCACUACUAGUUCUUCAGCCUCAUGGACAAACCUUCAUUUGUCAGUGGGCGCUUUGUGGAGUGCCAGAAGGAUGGAAAGAUUGAAGCUGAAGUUAAACUUACUGAAAACCGCAGAUUAGGAGCAUUGCAGACCGUGAAAGUUCAAAAUUAUGGGAUGAUUAUUGCACCCGGCUUGUAUGCACCCGUCGACCAACAUUUUUUUGUCUUCCAUAUGAAUCUAGCAGUUGAUUGCAUAUAACUAGAUAUACACAGUUGAAGUUAAUGUCAAAGUUGAAGAAUCCGGGGAAAAUAAAUCCAUAAUAAUGCGUUCUAUACUGAGGAAACAUUGCUUAAAACUGAAUCUCAAGCUAUGUGAUGGCAAUCAAUUAUCUGCACGUCAUUGGAUACGGUAUCCAUGACACAAAUUAUUCUAUGCCUUGCUGUACUUUAGAUCAUGAACACAAGGACUGUGAAUAGGACUGCACAGCUGACUGGCUAUAAGCUCGUACCCCGGUUCAAACUGUUUACCACUGGCAGGUUCUGAGGCUAAGUUUCCUGAGAAGGCCUGAAUUUCUAAAGCAUAAUCUUCGGGUUACACUGUAUGGACUUGACGAGAACUUUCAUGGGGGCGAAUUCCCUUAACCAGAAUCCACGUGUUGGUGAAGACUUGGGCUUGAGGGUCAAACAAAAUCGUUCUCUUGAAGAAAGUGAUAGCGUCCUAUGAUCGGUGCAGCCACACAGGUGAUGUUCCCCCAGGAGCAUGCAAGUCAGAUGCAAACAGCACGAAACUUAAAAGAAAUUGCCGCUCCCAAAUCUGUAUCUAAUGCCAAGAGGAAUAUCGAUAACCGAAGACAACGAGAGACGGUGCGUAAGUGAUCAUGUGUCACAGUGGACUCGUUUGGCCGUAUCUUCUAUCCGACACUAUUAGGUAUAUGACCCUUUCCUUUACUCGGUCCUCCCCCCUUGUACUUGUUAUCAAAUAAAAUGUGUUGUGUUUUGAGAUAAAAACAAAUCAACCUUGGAAGUAUCUGAUUUUUUUUCGUGGUAGAGUAUAUGUAUGUUUCAUUUUUAUGAUAAAAACAAUAUGUCUGAAACUUGAGGAACUGUUUAUAUUAUUAUUAUUAUUGCUCUGUUUUGUGGGCCAUAGUUUUACUCUAA